GACCUAAAACAUUCUGUUUGAUGAGCAAAACCCGAACAAAUCUGGAAAAGGCGGGGGAGGGGAUACAUUUUUACAGCACCACCAAAAAACUUCCUUUGUGGAAAUUUGAGUGAGUGAGUCGUUCAUGUGGAACAGAUCAUGUCUCCUCAUGCAGACGUGUCUCCGGUUCAUUCUCAGACCAACCCUGACCUUUCCACAAGCGUCUGUCUGUGACCUCUCUGCAAAUGUUACGCUAUCAUCCAAGCAUGACUGGCUUCUCCUUUUCUGCUCCAGUCUUCCUGCUGCAGCACGGGGAGGAUGAGGAGGGGGGAGGGAGGUUCACUCUGCCCCCCUCCCCCUCCUCCUCCUGAUGUGUCAACCAUAAUUAACUCUGCCACUGUUGCUCCACUCUGCUGAUUCUGCAAGGCGGUUAGAGAGUGAAACCACAGCAAAGCGGCGCCUCCUGCUCACAACAAGGUGAGUGUGGCUGCUGUGAAGAGGGUCAUCAGCAAGUGUGUUUGUUUAGUGCAAAAAACACACACACAGACACACACACACACAUACACACACACACACACACACACACACGUUUCAAUAAAGGACAUGACCAGAGUGGCAACCAUGGUAUAAACAAUGCAUUAAGAACAGCAACAUCAACAAGAACAA